GCAAGUCGGUCGAGUGCGUAAUCGGCCGUUGGAAUCAGUUCCGAGGAAGGAAUCCGACUAAUUGCCGCAAUAUGACGUCUCACUAAUUACGAUGACAUUGAUGCCGAGACACUGAAGGACUUAAGCGUGGGACCACUUGCACUGAACGUGACUAAAUAUAAUGCAGCCUUGCGUCCCGUAUUCCAAUUACCACGACGGACAGACGAAGAGGGAAGAAGCACCUGUUUUACAUACGCAUCAGGGACCAAUCAGAUAUCAAUAAAAUUAAUUUUUCCAUGCCAGAUAGUGUUGCAAUCAAUGUGUUGCAUUGGAAAAUCAAUAUCACAUUGAUUUAUAAUGUUGACAUUAUUUUAAUAAAUACUUAUAUA